ACUCGAGUGGCGAACGGGUGAGUAACACGUGGGUGAUCUGCCCUGCACUUCGGGAUAAGCUUGGGGAACUGGGUCUAAUACCGGAUAGGAGCCAUCUUUAGUGUGGUGGUUGGAAAGUUUUUCGGUGUAGGAUGAGCUCGCGGCCUAUCAGCUUGUUGGUGGGGUAAUGGCCUACCAAGGCGGCGACGGGUAGCCGGCCUGAGAGGGUGUACGGCCACAUUGGGACUGAGAUACGGCCCAG
rnacentral:rRNA from 1 species